GAGCACUGAAAUACAGAUUUUUAUUUAACAUGUCCUCUUUACUUUAACAUUUUCAUCAUCAGAUUUUAAAGGAUUCUGAUGAUUAAAAAGUUAAAGUAAAGAGGACAUGUUAAAUACAAAUCUGUAUUUCAGUGCUC